GGAAAGUCGGCGCGGGCGAAAUUUCGCCGAACCCGGUCAGGUCCGAAAGGAAGCAGCCGCAAGUGAAUUUUUUCGGGUCGUGUCCGGCUUUCCACU
rnacentral:SRP_RNA from 1 species